GGAGCAAAAGGCAGGACUUUGGUGAGACCAAAGUGAAGCUCAGAGGUUGAUGAGACGAAGAUGUCUUUAGAAAUGGGUCUUAAGAUCCAUGGAGGACUAAAAUUGAUUAAUUAAUCUGAGUUAUAGUAGGAGUUUUGUCAUCAGCAGUUCUCCGAAGACUACAGGUGGUGAUGGCUGUCAUCUGGAACUGCAUCCGGUGCUGUUGACUGGAACAUCUCCACGUGGCUUCUUCAUGUGGCUACUUGGCUUUCUCAGAGGCUGGUGACUGUAUGUUAGUGUAAACCCCCCAAGACAAUUAAAUAGAAGCUCUAUUCUAUAUAGCCUCAGAGGUACUUAGUGUCUCCUCCUCCAUAGUCAAAAGUUAUUCAGAUUCAAAAGGAGAAAACACAGAUUCUGCCUUUUGAUGGGAGGAGUGCAGAAGAAUUUGGGGCAUUUUAAAAAGUAACACCACAAUGGGAAAAUAAUAAGGUAAAAUCUACCAGCAAACCCUAAUAUAGUCCCUCAGUCCCUUUCCAUAAAAUAAAGAGAUUCUUUGUUUGCUGGAAAAGUAAACUUCAGAAAAUUUGAUUUUUGAAAUGAUUUAAAAAAAAAAAAAAAAAAAAGUACUUCUGGGGAAUUCCCUGGCAGUCCAGUGGUUAGGACUUGGCGCUCUCACUGCUGGGGUCCUGGGUUCUAUACCUGGUAGGGAAUUAAAAUCCCACAAGCCACCCAGAGAGGCAAAAAAAAAAAAAAAGUACCUCUGUUAAUAGUGGUUACUCUCAGUGAAGAUGUAGUUAGAGUUACUGGAAAGGUAUAUGCAAGGAGUUUCUGAGAUGCUAGUAAUGUUUUGUUUCUUGAUCUAGAUGCUGAUUAAAGAGGUACAUUCACUUUAUGAGAGGACAUUCAGUUUAUGUAUAUAUCUGUACCCAUUUAUAUACAGAUACAAUAUUUCAGCAUAAUAUUGCAUUU